CCGAAGCUUCGGGGGUAGCGGCAUCCUUUUUUAAACGCCGUCAGGAAGUUUAAAAAAGAUACAGCGGAUAGCCGGACCCGAG
rnacentral:sRNA from 1 species